AAGACGGUGUUCUCUCUCAGCCCUCUCUCUCCGUCAUUCCAAAACCAAUCGCAGACGGUGUUCCACCAGCGAACCAAAUCGGAUCUUAAUCAUAGGUGAGUCAUCAAAUCAAGGUCAAUGAAAGCAGCAGUUGUGUUCGCGACAUCGAAGAGAUCCCUAAGCAUGAAUCUAAAGCCUAGAGAUAUCUCAGAGAUCUGGUCUCCAGCCAAGCAUAUAUUGGCCAUGACGAAGAAAAGAGAAGACGACAUUUACAUGGACGUUUCCCAAUCUAAGGUAAUAGGGAUUAAAGACUUUUUCAAUCUACAUGAUGUAUGUAAAACUUUUAGAUUGUUUUGGUACUUGUAUGAUGUUUCUGCAUCAUAACAAUGUCAUAAGUUUCUGUUAGCAUUUUGUUUUAACUGUGAUUAAACUUCAAGAACGAACAUAUAUAAUUCAGGAAGAAUUGUAUGAAAUUCGGGAAGUGUUUUAUAACA